GACGAACGCUGGCGGCGUGCUUAACACAUGCAAGUCGAACGGAAAGGCCCUGCUUGCAGGGUACUCGAGUGGCGAACGGGUGAGUAACACGUGGGUGAUCUGCCCUGCACUUCGGGAUAAGCUUGGGAAACUGGGUCUAAUACCGGAUAGGAGCCAUCUUUCGUGUGGUGGUUGGAAAGUUUUUUCGGUGUAGGAUGAGCUCGCGGCCUAUCAGCUUGUUGGUGGGGUAAUGGCCUACCAAGGCGGCGACGGGUAGCCGGCCUGAGAGGGUGUACGGCCACAUUGGGACUGGGAUACGGCCCAGACUCCUACGGGAGGCAGCAGUGGGGAAUAUUGCACAAUGGGCGCAAGCCUGAUGCAGCGACGCCGCGUGGGGGAUGAAGGCCUUCGGGUUGUAAACUCCUUUCGCUAGGGACGAAGCUUGUUUGUGACGGUACCUAGAUAAGAAGCACCGGCUAACUACGUG
rnacentral:rRNA from 1 species